rnacentral:rRNA from 1 species
UACGUAGGGUGCAAGCGUUGUCCGGAAUUAUUGGGCGUAAAGAGCUCGUAGGCGGUUUGUCGCGUCUGCUGUGAAAACCCGAGGCUCAACCUCGGGCCUGCAGUGGGUACGGGCAGACUAGAGUGCGGUAGGGGAGAUUGGAAUUCCUGGUGUAGCGGUGGAAUGCGCAGAUAUCAGGAGGAACACCAAUGGCGAAGGCAGAUCUCUGGGCCGUAACUGACGCUGAGGAGCGAAAGCAUGGGAAGCGAACAGG